rnacentral:rRNA from 1 species
UACGUAGGGGGCAAGCGUUGUCCGGAUUUAUUGGGCGUAAAGAGCGUGUAGGCGGCUAUUCAGGUCAGCUGUGAAAACUCGAGGCUCAACCUCGAGACGUCGGUUGAAACCGUUUGGCUAGAGUCCGGAAGAGGAGAGUGGAAUUCCCGGUGUAGCGGUGAAAUGCGCAGAUAUCAGGAAGAACACCCGUGGCGAAGGCGGCUCUCUGGGACGGUACUGACGCUGAGGCGCGAAAGCGUGGGGAGCGAACAGG